CCUACGGGAGACAGCAGUGAGGAAUAUUGGUCAAUGGACGAGAGUCUGAACCAGCCAAGUAGCGUGAAGGAUGACUGCCCUAUGGGUUGUAAACUUCUUUUAUAUGGGAAUAAAAUGUUCCACGUGUGGGAUUUUGUAUGUACCAUAUGAAUAAGGAUCGGCUAACUCCGUGCCAGCCGCCGCGGUAAUACGGAGGAUCCGAGCGUUAUCCGGAUUUAUUGGGUUUAAAGGGAGCGUAGGUGGGUUGUUAAGUCAGUUGUGAAAGUUUGCGGCUCAACCGUAAAAUUGCAGUUGAAACUGGCAGUCUUGAGGACAGUAGAGGUGGGCGGAAUUCGUGGUGUAGCGGUGAAAUGCUUAGAUAUCACGAAGAACUCCGAUGGCGAAGGCAGCUCACUGGACUGCAACUGACACUGAGGCUCGAAAGUGUGGGUAUCAAACAGGAUUAGAUACCCAAGUAGUC
rnacentral:rRNA from 1 species